rnacentral:rRNA from 1 species
AUGCCUGCUGUGGACGAUGGAUCUCUCGGGUCUUCUCUUCUAGCGGGGGCACUGGAAGCCGGAGGGGACGUUCUUGCCGCAGUAGUUGACGAGGAGGCUGAGGUCGAUGGGCACGUUGAGGUUGAUGCCCAGGAUGUUGGCCUUGAGCGCCGUGCAGAGGCACACCGCCGCCUCCAGGUCGGCGAGGCCCUGGAUCAGCGAGCAGCACGGCUGCUUCGGCGGCGUCCCCAGCUGCAGGUUGAUCAGCCCGUUGAGCACGUUGGCGCACACGCCCAGCUUCAGCGCGUCGAUGGGGCACCGCGCGCGCCCGCCUGA